rnacentral:rRNA from 1 species
UACUAGAUGCUGACGAGCGGCGGACGGCUGAGUAACGCGUGGGAACGUGCCCCAAAGUGAGGGAUAAGCAUCGGAAACGAUGUCUAAUACCGCAUAUGGUCUUCGGAUUAAAGGAUUUAUCCGCUUUGGGAGCGGCCCGCGUCGGAUUAGGUAGUUGGUGAGGUAAUGGCUCACCAAGCCUACGAUCGUUAACUGGUCUGAGAGGAUGAUCAGUCAGACUGGAACUGAGACACGGUCCAGACUCC